GCAGAGAAUGGCUUCCGGCUUCCGCACACCGAGACCCGCCUGAGCAGCAGAGAAUGGCUUCCGGCUUCCGCACACCGAGACCCGCCGGUGCGGGCUUCCUGGGACUUCCAUUCUUGAUUUGUUGGGGUGACAGUGCCAAGCCUGACCUCCCCUCUAAGGUCAGAAAAACAAUGAGCAACGUGCGUCAAUGAGGGCAGCAGCUUCCAAACAGACACCUGGGGAAACCUGGAAAUCUUCAGUGAUGUUUUGGUGGAGUGAGAACCUCUACAAAGCCCUCCAGUGGCUGCUCCAGUUGGUCCACUGCAGUGCUUGAUUUUGUGAAGAACCCUGUGGAAUGUGGUCUCUGGCAGCUGAGAAGUGCCUUCCUUUUCCAUCAGCGCAAGGCAAACACAUGAAGGGAGCUGGGGUUUCUUGCCACCAUUUCACCUGAGACCCCUGAAAGCUGCAGCCCACACUGCAAAUACUUUUCUUGGCCCUGGAAGUAGAGGGAAGU
ensembl:lncRNA novel transcript, antisense to VPS53